rnacentral:lncRNA from 10 species
GUUACAGGCACGCAGCACCGCGGCACUGCACCGGCUAUUGUUCUUUUAUUUUUUUCCCUCUUUGUCCCUGAAAGAGUCAAGCUACUAAUUGUCAGUAAUCAAAUCAGACCACGAUUUCCCAGGCAAACUCCUGGCAGUUCUACAUUUAGGAAUGACUAGCUAGAGACAUCCUGAAGAAUGAGUUAUUCGGGGAGGCGCCAGCCACCUCCUCUAACUUCACCUCUAUCUGCCCUCUGUGCUCAAAGAUUUGGAAAGAGACAGCUUAACAGAAAAGGAAUGUGUGAAGGAGAAAUUGAAUCUCUUGCACGAAUUUCUGCAAACAGAAAUAAAGAAUCAGUUAUGUGACUUGGAAACCAAAUUACGUAAAGAAGAAUUAUCCGAGGAGGGCUACCUGGCUAAAGUCAAAUCCCUUUUAAAUAAAGAUUUGUCCUUGGAGAACGGUGCUCAUGCUUACAACCGGGAAGUGAAUGGACGUCUAGAAAACGGGAA